rnacentral:tRNA from 1 species
CCCGUAGCUCAGUGGUAGAGCAGUUGACUUUUAAUCAAUUGGUCGGAGGUUCGAAUCCUCCCGGG